GAUGAACGCUGGCGGCGUGCCUAAUACAUGCAAGUCGAGCGAAUGGAUUAAGAGCUUGCUCUUAUGAAGUUAGCGGCGGACGGGUGAGUAACACGUGGGUAACCUGCCCAUAAGACUGGGAUAACUCCGGGAAACCGGAGCUAAUACCGGAUAACAUUUUGAACCGCAUGGUUCGAAAUUGAAAGGCGGCUUCGGCUGUCACUCAUGGAUGGACCCGCGUCGCAUUAGCUAGUUGGUGAGGUAACGGCUCACCAAGGCAACGAUGCGUAGCCGACCUGAGAGGGUGAUCGGCCACACUGGGACUGAGACACGGCCCAGACUCCUGCGGGAGGCAGCAGUAGGGAAUCUUCCGCAAUGGACGAAAGUCUGACGGAGCAACGCCGCGUGAGUGAUGAGGGCUUUCGGGUCGUAAAACUCUGUUGUUAGGGAAGAACAAGUGCUAGUUGAAUAAGCUGGCACCUUGACGGUACCUAACCAGAAAGCCACGGCUAACUACGUGCCAGCAGCCGCCGUAA
rnacentral:rRNA from 1 species